GUUACUGAACUGGUAUUCUAACCUCUUCCCACCCCCACCCCUGCCUUAGCUUUGAAUCUUUCUUUCUUGAACUUUUCUUUCAGCCUUUUCCCCCCUCAUAUAAAUAGUAAUAACUGUUCCCAGUGUACUAUAUUUAAUUUCUUGUGGUCAGUGGGAGAUCAUACAAUUAAUUGCCAUACCAAGGGUAAAACUAGUCCAGUGCUUUUAAAUAUGCGGACCAUUGCAAAUUAGCAAGCACACAGUUAUACACUGAGGAAUAACUGUGUAUCAGGUUUCUGUUUGGUGUUCAUACAAGUGUAUAUUUACUUUUAAAAUCAGUUUAGUAGUACCCUAGAAAUUGUUUUCUAUUUUAUAAAUGAAGGUAAUGCUGACUAGAUAGGGAGGGAUUGAUACAAAUCCUUUAUUAAUUUUCUUUUGUAAUUAUAUAAAGCUCAGUGUAUGCAGUUGUAUAUUGUAAUUUCAAUUUCUAGGAUGCAAAAGAUUUGUCACAUUUUGAAUGUAUGUAUACAUUUU
rnacentral:lncRNA from 1 species